rnacentral:rRNA from 1 species
UACAGAGGGUGCGAGCGUUAAUCGGAAUUACUGGGCGUAAAGCGUGCGUAGACGGUUUCGUAAGUCGGGUGUGAAAUCCCCGGGCUCAACCUGGGAAUUGCAUUCGAAACUGCGAGGCUAGGGUACGGAAGAGGGAAGCGGAAUUUCUGGUGUAGCGGUGGAAUGCGCAGAUAUCAGGAGGAACACCAACGGCGAAGGCAGCUCGCUGGGACGUGACUGACGCUGAGACGCGAAAGCGUGGGGAGCAAACAGG